GUCCGUUUUUUUAUUUUUUUGAGUUUGAGAAGAGGUAGAAGAGAGGUUGGAAUAGAGGAAGCUCAAAUAUAGAUUUAGAAUUUUUUGAUACGAAGAAGAGGAAGAAGAAACCAGAUUAUUUCAGAACAGCAAUUACAAAACAAGGUUGUCAUGGAUGUUGCUAGUUCCAUUGCCGUCGUUCGCUAUUUUUUUGAUUUCAUCACCACUCGUGUUAGUAUUGAGACCACACUUGAUGAAUUUAAAGCCGAAGUUUGCAGGAAAUGGAAGCAAUUUACUCCACUUGGUAUUUCUUUCAUCUUCCGAGAAG